rnacentral:rRNA from 1 species
GCGCCCUUCGGGGUGAGCGGCGGACGGGUUAGUAACGCGUGGGAAUAUGCCCGACACUAAGGAAUAGCCUCUGGAAACGGAGAGUAAUACCUUAUACGCCCUUCGGGGGAAAGAUUUAUCGGUGACGGAUUAGCCCGCGUUAGAUUAGAUAGUUGGUGGGGUAAUGGCCUACCAAGUCUACGAUCUAUAGCUGGUUUUAGAGGAUGAUCAGCAACACUGGGACUGAGACACGGCCCAGACUCCUACGGGAGGCAGCAGUGGGGAAUCUUGGACAAUGGGCGCAAGCCUGAUCCAGCCAUGCCGCGUGAGUGAUGAAGGCCUUAGGGUCGUAAAGCUCUUUCGCCAGAGAUGAUAAUGACAGUAUCUGGUAAAGAAACCCCGGCUAACUCCGUGCCAGCAGCCGCGGUAAUACGGAGGGGGUUAGCGUUGUUCGGAAUUACUGGGCGUAAAGCGCGCGUAGGCGGAUUAGUCAGUUAGAGGUGAAAUCCCGGGGCUCAACCCCGGAACUGCCUUUAAUACUGCUAGUCUUGAGUUCGAGAGAGGUGAGUGGAAUUCCGAGUGUAGAGGUGAAAUUCGUAGAUAUUCGGAGGAACACCAGUGGCGAAGGCGGCUCACUGGCUCGAUACUGACGCUGAGGUGCGAAAGUGUGGGGAGCAAACAGGAUUAGAUACCCUGGUAGUCCACACCGUA